AGGCUCCUCCGUCCAUGGGAUUCUCCAGGCAAGAAUACUGGAGUGGGUUGCCAUUUCCUUCUCCAAGGUACAGGUUUCUUAUAACUUUCAUGUCAUACCACUAAAUUGGGUAAACUUGAUGACCUUAUAAAACUGCUAAAUAAGUGAACUGAAGGAUAUGGUUAUAAUAUUUCAGUUUUGUCUGAGACAUUACUGGCUUUUAUUCUGUGUUUUCCAGAUAUAAGGAAACCCUUCUCGUCAAGCUAAUUAUACUUUACAGCAAUUUGGUAAGUUAUACCCCUAAGUAGAACUGAAACAUUCCCUCUACCUGAUCCCUCCAGAAACUGGAAACUAAGGUUCCCAGCAGCUUUAUCAGGUAAAUAAGGAAGGCCAUUUCCUAACAGGUUAAGAAUCUCAAGGUAUUUUGAGGAGACUUCAAAAAGGGAGGGAUUCACCCAAAUCUGUACAGCAAAAUCUGUGAUAAGCCCUUGUCACCACUUUCCAUAAGAGGGUACAGAGAAACCAAACAAACUUUUUGGCCAACCCAAUAAAAUAACCUAUAUAACCGUACAUAAGUAACCAAGUCAAUUUCUUGAAAUCAGACUUAAUUUGCAACCAAAUAAAUUAUAACUUGGCUAUAUUUAGUAAAAACGAGGAUAAUUUUAGAGUGAAAAAGAUUGUUUCAGUGUACAUCAAAUUCUGAUUCUGUUUUGAGGUCUGUACUUAUUAAGACUACUUCCCAGAUAGUUCUUUGUUGUAAAGUUUAAUUGCAUUAUUAAUAAGAUACUCUAAGCUCAUUUCUGAAGCCGAUCACUGCCGUCUAUCUUUAGGUGAGGAUCAAAUGCCCCAUGACCUGUGGCCAGGCUGUAUCAAAAACUGGGAGCUGCUGUGUUAACUGUACAGUGGCCCUAGUACUUAGGAAAGCUGGAGAAAUGUUACCUGCUCGAGAUUCUUUUAUAAAACAUAAAGACUUAGUUCUGACUCUUUCAGUAAUCCACUGUAGGAGCCAUCAGAGGGAUGGGUCUUCUGUGAGCCACGGGGACAGCAAAGCGGACAGAACUGCAAAGCAAGCAACUCGACUGGAAGAGCCUGAGCGAGUUAGGCCCCUGGUGUCUGUGCCCCCAGAUUCCCGAGCCUUCCCUAGUAUUCUCCACAGGAACAAGAAAAAGCUGAGAAAUGGAGCUAUGAGAAAGCAAGCAUAAAAAGGGGGACAACAUUCCAAUCUCUGAAGCCCAACAAUAGCAACUUGCUGAGAGUUUACAUGAUGCCACCCACUAUGGGAGGGAUGCACCACAGGACUUGACGAAAGAGUCUUUCAGGGAAGGGACUCAAAAAACACAGUAAAACAAGUAACCCUUGCCUACGAUUUGUGUGCCUGUAAUAACCCACAGGCCCAUUCAAUUCCCCCUUCAUUAUGCAGGCCAGUUCAACAUACCUGGGGGAAGACUGGCAGUUAGGUAUCACCCAAAUGCCCCCGCGGUCAGGAUAUAAAUAUUUUCUUAUGUUCAUUGACACUUUCACAGGAUGGGUUGAUGCUUCCCCUACCCAGUCUGAAAAGGCUACUGAACUCUGUAAAUCCCUUUUAAAAGAAAUAAUUCCUGGGAAUUCCCUGGUUGUCCAGUGCUUAGAACUCUCCGCUUCCACUGCCUGGGGCAUGGGUUCAAUCCCCGUUCAGGGACCUAAGAUUCCUUAAGUUGCAUGGCAUGGCAAAAAUAAAAGGCACAAUCCCUCAGUGUGCACUUCCAAAGCCCCCGAGUGACUGUUAUCCCUCUUUUAUACCCAAAAUCACACAGGGGCUCACAACAGCCCUAGGGAUAAACUACAAGUUACACUUAUUGGCACCCCCAAGCUAUGGAGAUCCUUGGGAUCACAAAGAGUCAGACACGGCUGAGCAGCUGAACAACAAUCUUCAGGGAAGGUAGAGAAAAUGAACCAUACUUUAAAGAAAACCUUAGGGGAAAAAAAAAAACAAACCUGCCAAGAGCCUCACAUUACACUCCUUAGGGUUCAUGUACCCUCAGGAGUAUUUUGAAAUGACCCAUGGGAAGGCUUUUCUCACUACUGACCUUCUGCUAGAUGAGGAAGUGAGCAGACCCUAAAAGAUGAAUCUAGGACAAGUUGAGAAGGCAGUCCAGGACCAUGACACCAAGGCACUGCCACCUCCACCAAAAAUACAGUGGAAGGGGUAGUUCCUUCACAAGGAAGCCCUGGGGACCACGCUCUUCCUAAAAUCUGGAAAGAGGGGUCCCCUGAGGACCCAUUAUCACCAAAGUAGGAAGGCCCCCAUAACGUAAUUUUACCCACCCCCACUGCUGUCAGAUUGUAAGGGAUAUCUAACUGGGUACAUUUGUCCAGACUAAAGCUUUUACCUCCAAAAAUGUCACAGGUCACCACAGAAGAACAAUACACCUGUGAGCCAGUGGAAAACCUGAGAUACCUAUUCAGAAGACAGGCACCACCGACGGAUCAAGAAAAAGUCAACAACAAGAGCAGAGAGACACUAAGCUCUGCUGCAGCGAAAACAAAGACGACCACAUCUUUCAUUCUUGAAGCCAGGGAGACCUCCCCCCCUGCGCGUGCAGAGUUCAGAGAAGAGAGAAGUUCCUCGGGAGCCAAAAAGGGAAGGGGCACCACCCUGUGAUAUGUGUCACCAGCCUCCCAGAGGCCCUCACGCUGGGAUCCAUCCUGGUUAGAAGGCAUCCGUGCACACCAGGGAGUGCCUUGAGUCAGACCAGUUAUGGGCAAUGAGCCAGGCGGCUGGCCAAAGGGUACAAAGAAAACUGACCCUAUAUAAAUGAUUAAACCACCCCUCUGGUCCACUCCUCAUGAGCAAGGACAUCCACACUCUUCUCUGAGUAUGUAGCUCUGCUUUGUUCUGUCCUAAACAAACCGCUUCUUGUAUGCUCUCUCAUGCAUAUGAGGUUCUAAUAAACUCGGUGCUUGUUUUA